rnacentral:lncRNA from 1 species
CCUUAAGAUUUUUCCACCGCCUACUGCCUGUGAUUAGACAAUUCUUUAGAUAUCUCAGUUACUAUUGGACAAUUGGCAAAAAGUGUAGAGGCAAAAAUUGUAGAAUGGAUCGCGUUCUACAAGAAUGGUUUCUAUCAAUUUUUGUGUAGAGUCAACUGGUUUUAAGAAAUUUGGUCCCUAAGAUUUUUCCACUGCAUACUGCCUGUGAUUAGCCAAUUCUUUAGAUAUCUCAGUUACUAUUGGACAAAUGGUAAAAAGUGUAGAGGCAAAAAUUGUAGAAUGGAUCGCGUUCUACAAGAAUGGUUUCUAUCAAUUUUUGUGUAGAGUCAACUGGUUUUGAGAAAUUUGGACCUUAAGAUUUUUCCACGGCCUGCUGCCUGUGAUUAGACAAUUCUUUAAAUAUCUCAGUUACUAUUGGACAAAUGGCAAAAAGUGUAGAGGCAAAAAUUGUAGAAUGGAUCGCGUUUUACAAGAAUGGUUUCUAUCAAUUUUUGUGUAGAGUCAACUGUUUUUGAGAAACUUGGAUCUUAAGAUUUUUCCACGGUCUACUGCCUGUGAUUAGACAAUUCUUUAAAUAUCUCAGUUACUAUUGGACAAAUGGUAAAAAGUGUAGAAGCAAAAAUUGUAGAAUGGAUCGCGUUCUACAAGAAUGGUUCCUAUCAAUUUUUGUGUAGAGUCAACUGGUUUUGAGAAACUUGGAUCUUAAGAUUUUUUCACGGUCUACUGCCUGUGAUUAGACAAUUAGUAGUCGGCGGCCAUAUUAGACUUGUAGCUGUUUAAAAUUUGCCGACAGAUGGCGUAACUAACGUGUUGUUUAGAAAUCGUUAUAGUUACGCGAAAGAUCACCCGUUGGCUGGAGCGCCCUCUGUGGGAUCUAAAAAAAAAUUAAUAAAUACUUCCAGGCUCUCGGAAGCCAUUUCUUAACGCUUUUGACGUCAUUUUUUACGUUCGUCAAAAAGCCCCCUAGUGGCCAAAUUGACAUUUCUCCAGAUCUAGCCGCGAUCCACACUUAGUGAAACACCCUGUAUAUAUAUAUAAUAUAUAUGUAUACAAAUUUUAUAAGGGUAGAAUUGUAUUUAAAGGGUGUUUUUAGGCGGAAAAUCUCCUUGUUUUAGUCAAGAAAAAAAAAAUGAAACCAAAGACGUGCAUUUUCUCUUUUUGCAGUAUUAAGGUGUAAUUUCUAUUCCAUUUAUUCUGUGGUUUAAUUAUUAUUAAUAAAUUAACCAGAUUAUUUUGUAACGAAA